rnacentral:antisense_RNA from 1 species
GGCGGGUUGUGCGUGGGAGCCUUCGGGCUCGCCGGUGUCCUACUGGGCCGGUAGUUCCAACCACGCGCAGCCCGCC